rnacentral:rRNA from 1 species
AUUUGAAAUCUAGCACCUUCGGUGUUCGAGUUGUAAUUUGAAGAUGGUAACCUUGGGUUUGGCUCUUGUCUAUGUUCCUUGGAACAGGACGUCAUAGAGGGUGAGAAUCCCGUCUGAUGAGAUGCCCAUUCCUAUGUAAGGUGCUAUCGAAGAGUCGAGUUGUUUGGGAAUGCAGCUCUAAGUGGGUGGUAAAUUCCAUCUAAAGCUAAAUAUUGGCGAGAGACCGAUAGCGAACAAGUACAGUGAUGGAAAGAUGAAAAGAACUUUGAAAAGAGAGUGAAAAAGUACGUGAAAUUGUUGAAAGGGAAGGGCAUUAGAUCAGACUUGGUGUUUUACGAUUAUCUUCUCUUCUUGAGUUGUGCACUCGUAUUUCACUGGGCCAGCAUCGAUUCGGAUGGCAAGAUAAUGGCAGUUGAAUGUGGCUUCACUUCGGUGGAGUGUUAUAGCUUCUGCUGAUAUUGCCUGUCUGGAUCGAGGGCUGCGUCUUUUGACUAGGAUGCUGGCGUAAUGAUCUAAUGCCGCCCGUCUUGAAAC